UUUGGAAUCAAAUGCCCCUCUAGGAUUGAGUCUCUUUUACCCAAACCACUUUUGAAUCUUGUCAACUUUGUCUAAAAGAAAUCCUAAAAACAAAUGAACAAAUGGACUCGGUCCACGGACACCUAGCCAAGACUGUCUCUGAGAAGAAUGACAUGCCUUCAGCAUGAAGUAGCUACAAGAAAAGGACAUGUAAUUAAGGAGGAAAAAAAAAAUCAGAAACUGGAGCCAUUAAAGAGACUGUGAUAUGAGGAAAACAUUGUACAGGAGAUGUGACCGAAGAUCUCAGAUCUGAGAACUGAAAGGGAAUGAAACUAGUUAAAAUUCCACUGCUCAUUCGCUCCACGGGAGAAAUAACAUUCCUGUGCGAUGCCACUUGCCACUUCAUUUUUAGAAACAAUUAAAAGAUGCAAAUAUUUAUGAA
rnacentral:lncRNA from 1 species